AUUAAAAUGCCUAAGUUUGAAGUUAUCUCUCUUAUUUUAGAGCAGCCCUCAUGUUUUCUGUGGGACACAAAUCAACACAAAUAGUUGAGCUGCUUCUUCAAUGUGGUGUUAAUGUGCCUGCUUCAGAUAAUUGUGGAGAGAAGAAGAAGAAGAAAUAAUAAUACAAUUCCCAGACUAGUAGAGGUAAAAACACCUAGCCACAACCCGUCUUCAGUGUGCUGUAUCUUAAGCUCCAGGUAGCUCUCCUUUUUCCAUCCAUACCCUUGUUCUAUUGUGUGUGGAUGCAAACCUGUAAAAGACACCAGCCUGCAGGGAUCCUGAUGUUGUAUCAUCAAACACUGAUCCCAGUUUCCCAGAACAUGUGUUGGUAAGUGUGUUACUUAUUUUUUUCACACAACACCCCACUCUUCAAAGGGAAUUGUAGCAGCAGGAAGGGGUGAAACCUAGGUUGACAACCAAUUUCAAGAGGUCGGGAGAAAUGUUAGGUAGCCAAGGAAAAAGAAGCAUCUUCUGUGAACUCUGCCCCACCCCACCUCAGGCAGCCAUGGGGUGGCUGUUUGUGCCCUCGUGUUUCAGUGGAGGCAAGUUGGGUCAAGUCGACAGCAUGACUGCACUUAAGAGCUGGCUAUCAUCAGUGCCUGCAAAACAUGCACAUGAGAAAUGACUUCACGGUUGGAGACCAGCUUACCAUCAAGCAUAUUAAUUUAAGGGAAAAUGAACACAAAACCUAGAUGGAAAACAAAACAACAAAAAAUGAAGUAGUUUGGCAAGUAGAGUCACUCAAAGAAUGAGUAGUCACCAGCAGAGGGAAGGUUCAGACUUCUUUUAAUAUAAAUAAUCUCAAUUAGGAAAAUAUGAACAUGUGUCUAUGCAUGAAUGUCCUAUGAGUUCCUGAAAAGUAUGUGGGAUUUUUCUCCUUUUGGAUAAAAUGCCCAUAAGAUACAGGAAAAGGGACCUUUUCUUUCUCUUUCUAGAGGUAUACUCUUGUGAAUAUCUGCUUUUGAUGGCUAACUUUAUGGGAAAGGUCUGUAUUUCUUUAAUUUUGAUGGUUAACUUAUCCCAAAGGACUUAAUUAUGUCUUUCAUAUGACCAGCAUUAGACCUUGCUGCUGUCUUUUGGCAAAGAAAUUCAAGGUUUGCAUCCUAGCCAACUGGAGAGUUUAUCAUUUUAACAAGGGGGACAUCUAUGUAGGAGGGCUUUGUUAGUCUCAUAAUUGCUCAAUCAGUGGUGUGUGUGUGUGUGUGUGUGUGUGUGUGUGUGCACGUGCACAUGUACACACACAUGUGCUGCCUCUCCCAAUUCUAUACAUUCUUUGAAGGUAUGUCCUUGCCAUGUGGAUGUCCUCAAGCACAAUGCCUAUCAGUGUCCAAAAUUCCUAAAGAUAGUCCCAGAUUUCAACUUCUUUUGACAUAUACCAUAAAUACAUUUAUAUUAUUUAGGUUGAUCUUUUUGCCAUAGAAAACACUGUCCAGAGGAAGUAUGUUCUCAACUAGCCUUUCUCUUGAAAUCCAAAAAUUAGUAUUUGGAAAAUCAUGCAUGUUUAUUCAACAAGCAUUCUGAAAUGCCUACUGUGUGCUAGAACAACAGAGCCCAUCCCAUAGAUCAGAGUUAACUGGUUGUUGUUUUCUCCAGGUCCAAAGGCAUCCCAAAAGCAGAGCAAGCAUCUGUAUUUGUAAUAAUGGAAUUGCAGCAACAUGUUACUUAUUUAAAACAAUAACAACUAUUGAGAGCCACAGACAAGUUGGGAUGGCGCCUAGCAUUUUGCCAGUACUUUUGAGUUCUUGCGGAGUUCCCGUUGAGUUCCAGUUGAGCUCCCACAGGGAUUCCUGGAGAGUUCUCAUUG
rnacentral:lncRNA from 1 species